rnacentral:rRNA from 1 species
GACGAACGCUGGCGGCGUGCUUAACACAUGCAAGUCGAACGGUGAAGGAAAGCUUGCUUUCUGGAUCAGUGGCGAACGGGUGAGUAACACGUGGGCAACCUGCCCCAGACUCUGGGAUAACUCUUCGAAAGAGGGGCUAAUACCGGAUAUUCGUGCGAGGAGGCAUCUUCUUGUUCGGAAAGAAUUUCGGUCUGGGAUGGGCCCGCGGCCUAUCAGCUUGUUGGUGAGGUAAUGGCUCACCAAGGCAACGACGGGUAGCCGGCCUGAGAGGGGGACCGGCCACACUGGGACUGAGACACGGCCCAGACUCCUACGGGAGGCAGCAGUGGGGAAUAUUGGUCAAUGGGCGAAAGCCUGAACCAGCAACGCCGCGUGAGGGAUGAAGGUCUUCGGAUUGUAAACCUCUUUCAGCAGGGACGAAGCGCAAGUGACGGUACCUGCAGAAGAAGCACCGGCUAACUACGUGCCAGCAGCCGCCGUAAAAC